rnacentral:misc_RNA from 1 species
GAUGAAGAACGUAGCGAAAUGCGAUACGUAAUGUGAAUUGCAGAAUUCAGUGAAUCAUCGAAUCUUUGAACGCAUAUUGCGCUCUUUGGUAUUCCGAAGAGCAUGCUUGUUUGAGUAUCAGUAAACACCUCAAAAGAUUUUCAUUUUUGAAAUGAUUUUGGACUUGAGCAAUCCCAACACCAGUCUUCACGGAUCGGCGGAGGGUUGCUUGAAAUGCAGGUGCAGCUGGACAUUCUCCUGAGCUAAAAGCAUAUCUAUUUAGUCCCGUCAAACGGAUUAUUACUUUUGCUGCAGCUAACAUAAAGGGAGUUUGACCAUUUUGGCUGACUGAUGCAGGAUUUCACAAGGGUCGGUAAACGAUUUUUGUAAAACUCGAUCUCAAAUCAAGUAAGACUACCCGCUGAACUUAAGCAUAUCAAUAAGCGGAGGA